GACGAACGCUGGCGGCGUGCCUAACACAUGCAAGUCGAACGGGGGUAGCAAUACCUCAGUGGCGAACGGGUGCGUAACACGUGAAGAAUUUGUCUAACGGCGGGGGAUAGCCGGCCCAACGGCCGGGUAAUACCGCGUACGACCUCUGGAGGGCAUCCUCUGGUGGUGAAAGCCGCAAGGCGCCGAUAGAGAACUUCGCGGCCUAUCAGCUAGUUGGCGGGGUAAUGGCCCACCAAGGCGACGACGGGAGCUGGUCCGAGAGGAUGACCAGCCACAUUGGGACUGAGACACGGCCCAGACUCCUACGGGAGGCAGCAGUGGGGAAUAUUGCGCAAUGGGCGAAAGCCUGACGCAGCGACGCCGCGUGUGGGAUGACGGCCUU
rnacentral:rRNA from 1 species